rnacentral:ncRNA from 1 species
UUGCAAUGAUGAAUUAAUAGGGAACCGGGUGAGAGUCCCGGACAGUUCCCGCUGCUGUAAGUUUCUACUCCAUAAAAGAGUACAAAAUAUUCCGGCAACCAAAUGCCACUGGUAUCUCAUAUACCGGGAAGGCGCCGGAGUUGAAACAAGUCAGAAGACCUGCCUUUGCAAAUA